GAUGAACGCUAGCGGCAGGCUUAACACAUGCAAGUCGAACGGUAACAGAACUAGCUUGCUAGUUGCUGACGAGUGGCGGACGGGUGAGUAACGCGUAGGAAUCUACCGAGUAGUGGGGGACAACAGUUGGAAACGACUGCUAAUAUCGCAUACGACCUACGGGUGAAAGGGGGCCUCUUCUUGAAAGCUCUCGCGACUAGAUGAGCCCAAGUGGGAUUAGCUUGUUGGUGAGGUAAGAGCUCACCAAGGCGACGAUCCCUAGCUGGUCUGAGAGGAUGAUCAGCCACACUGGAACUGAGACACGGUCCAG
rnacentral:rRNA from 1 species